CUUCUCUCUCUCUCUCCCCCCCUCUCUCUCUCUCUCGUGGGAUUAACGUGCGGUCGAGUAUCGGGCAUGUUCCAAGGGAGAGGAAGACGGGAAGAGAAGGAAGCGAGACAGAUCUUUGAAGGAGAGAGAGAGAGCGAGACGGUGUUGAGUCGGACGUACAGAAAACAGGAGAAUAAAACAAGCUGAGGAUCUACCUGAACAAGGUCCUCCAUAUUGAAAAGGCACCUGUCGUCUUUGACCAUGUCUAAGGACCAGUGUGACUCUGUAGCAGUGAGCGUCGAGUCCCUCUUAACAGACGCAGUUAAGAUGCAGUCCCAGUGUCGGGAGCGCAGUGAGCAGCUAGCUGUGGCCGCCGCCGCACUGCGGGAGGAGUCGGCGUGCUUGAGAGAACAGUGUCAAGCCACCCAGCUGGAUAUGGCCCGGAUGAGAAGGCAGCUGGAAGAACUGCUGGAUACCAAAGCUCAGAUGGAGGCCAGUGAUAGGAUGCACCGCAAACUCAGCAGGACACUUUAAAUGGAAGAGAAGGAAGAGAAGAGAGGGGAGGAACCAGGAGGGAGAGAGAAGAGAGGAGAGAGGGGAGGAACCAGGAGG